rnacentral:lncRNA from 1 species
GAAAUAUGUUAUUAUGUAUUUAAUUGAAGAUGGUUGAUGGAUAAGAGCGAAAAGAAAGAAAUAAUGUUGAAAUUUUGAUUCUUAAAAAUAUUUUCUAAGUAUAUGAUUGGAGAUUGUUGAUUGAGAAGUGAAAAAAAAAAAUGGAGAAAGGAAAAGGGGUGGUGGGGUGUGAGGAAGAAGAAGAUAAGAGGUGAUGGGGUG